rnacentral:rRNA from 1 species
CGCACGGGUGAGUAACGCGUAUGCAACUUACCUAUCAGAGGGGGAUAACCCGGCGAAAGUCGGACUAAUACCGCAUGAAGCAGGGGCCCCGCAUGGGGAUAUUUGCUAAAGAUUCAUCGCUGAUAGAUAGGCAUGCGUUCCAUUAGGCAGUUGGCGGGGUAACGGCCCACCAAGCCGACGAUGGAUAGGGGUUCUGAGAGGAAGGUCCCCCACAUUGGUACUGAGACACGGACCAA